GUGCUCGCUUGGGCAGCACAUAUACUAACAUUGGAACAAUACAAAGCAGAUUAGCAUGGCCACUGUGCAAGGAUGACAUGAAAAUUCGUGAAGUGUUCAAUAUUUUG
ensembl:snRNA U6 U6 spliceosomal RNA